GCAGCUCUCCAGGCCCCGCCCACCGCCGUUCGAAACCGUGUAUCCCAGGUUUGGGCUUGGUUCCUCUCCUGAGGUUAGGGUGCCGGUACCGUCCCGACCCUCCACGAAGGCCCAGUCUUAUUAGCGGAGCUGUGGAGUCUGACCGCGAGACGAGAAGCCUAAAGAGCGGGGCCGAGUUGUGGGGUUCCUCACCUACCGACCCUGACGGCUAAUUCACCCUUCAUUCAUCAGACAGAACAGAGCGCCUACCAUACGCCAAGCGCUGUGCUAGCGCUAAGGAUAUAGAAGUUGUCCUUUCCUCGUGGAAAGCACAGAAUAAUAGGAAAAUGCCUCUGAGGAAGGAACCGUCACCUUGCAAACUAUUGAAGUGUGACCCAGUAAUCAUGAGGACUAUAUACACUGCCCAGAACCCAGUUCUAGGGGAGUCCAGAGCAGUUUACUAUGAACAGCUGUUACUGCCACUUGCCUUGUACUCUGUUUUCUGAAACAAGUCACAGGAUCACACACCACCAGGAGGAAGCAGGUUGGGCUUUCUUAAAAAACAAAACAAACAAAACAAUGAAAAACUUUUUAAUGUUUUGCUCUAAAAUAAUCAAUGAUUCUCUGAGACGAGAAGAGAGUUUUUCUCCCGUAAUUCCCUCUUUUAAACCUACCAAUGAAAAACAAAGAAGACAAUCUGAAAACAAUUAAAAGGAUUUAAAAAUUA